rnacentral:lncRNA from 1 species
CAUCAGCAUAUUAUAUCUCUUAAGGAUGGGCAGAGCUAAGAGAUGAAAAAAGAAAGAGCCUUCAUUACUUUGAGCCUGGAUCCAGCUGGCCCAGAAUCCAGUCUACCUUGGAGUCCCUGAUUAUUUUUGCUCUGUUGCCCGUACUGGAGUGCAUUGGCGCACCCUCAACUCCACCUCCCAGGUUCAAGCAAUUUUCCUGCCUCAGCCUCCUGAGUAGCUGGGAUUACUGAGCAGCUGGGAUUACUUUCCCUGAAUGUGAAAGGCUGUUUAAGACUUAGAACAAUAAUGAAGAAUAAACAUCGCCUGCCCUUGGGAAUGUGCCCUCUGACUCAUCAGGACUAAUUAGACCCAGUGGACUCAACCAGUCAGAUCUGAGCGGGGUCUGGUCAUCCACUGCCUGCCAGGAGGAGAGGAUUUUUUUGUCCUCCAAAGUCAGCAGAAUUCCGGGAGGCAGCACGGUUGAAAUUGAUAUGACACUUGGUAAACAACACAGAUCAAUUGAAAAGCUCUUUUUCUGCUUUGAAGAGGAAAUUCUGCCCUGAAUUUUAGUGCUAAGGAACCCACCCAAGACAAGAAAAAAGCUGAGUGGGGUGAGUCAGAGAAUGUCUGGAGACCCAGGCAGGUAAGGAUAAGGGCUGG